rnacentral:rRNA from 1 species
UACGUAGGGGGCUAGCGUUGUCCGGAAUCAUUGGGCGUAAAGAGCGUGUAGGCGGCCCGGUAAGUCCGCUGUGAAAGUCGGGGGCUCAACCCUCGAAUGCCGGUGGAUACUGUCGGGCUAGAGUGCGGAAGAGGCGAGUGGAAUUCCUGGUGUAGCGGUGAAAUGCGCAGAUAUCAGGAGGAACACCAAUUGCGAAGGCAGCUCGCUGGGACGUAACUGACGAUGAGACACGAAAGCGUGGGGAGCAAACAGG